GGCCUCGUGGCCCGGAGCAAGGGCUCUUCCAGUAAUUUCUACAUCUUCUCCUUGAUUAUCCACUGGCAUUCACUGAAAAGCACACAAGUUAUUUAAGAACAGCUUUUCUAGAAUAAAAAAGACAAAAAGACACCCUAGGUUAAAUUUACAUAUCAAUUAUAAGAUCCUCCAAAUUCAGAAACAUUAUUCAAAGAGCCCAACAGAUCACAAUAGUGAAAGGCUAUAGGCCUUCUUUUCUGAAGGUUGCCAUGGUGCACAAGUCAAUGGGUAGGGCCUGACUGAUGUCCCCUGGAGCUGGUAAAGAAACCACCUGCAAUGUGGGAGACCUGGGUUCGAUCCCUGGGCUGGGAAGAUGCCCUGGAGAAGGGAAUGGCUACCCACUCCAGUAUCCUGGCCUGCAGAAUUCCAUGGACUGUAUGGUCCAUGGUGUCACAAAGAGUCGGACACGACUGAGUGACUUUCACUUUCCCUCUCUGUCACAAGACGGUGUCACACGGUGGGACUUAACCUUGGGGGUAGUGGGGUGUCCAAUCUUCUUUAAGGAGAUGUUAAAACUUAUGGAUCCUCUCCCCCCAAGAUAUCCAUUUUUUUAAUAAAAGACAUUUAAUAUUUACUUUUCUUUAUUUAUUUGGCUGCACCAGGCCUUAGUUGUGGCAUGUGGGAUCUAGUUCCCUGACAAGGGACUUAACCCCGGCCCCUUGUUUUGGAAGCUCAGAGUCUUAGCCACUGGAUCACCAGGGAAUUCCCCAGAAUAGACUUAAACACACAAAAAACUGUCCAUUUGAUUUUCAAGGGAUCACAGGCCCUCCAAUGCAGAUCAAGAACCCUUGAAAGAGAAAUUCUCAACCAUCCCUUCUAGGUCUACCAAACCCAGAAUAAUUCUUUAAAUUUUUUGAAUGCUCCCCCAAAAUUGAUUUAUACUUGAUCUUAGCCAAAAGGCCAAGCAGGGAUCUAAAUUGAUUUAAAUAUCAUGUUUAAAGCAUGCAAUUAAAACCAUUCAACCUCAUCCACAGCACUGUUUGGGGGUAGUACAAGCGCCAUCUGAAUCAGCCUUGUUUUGUUUCAGUGAAACAUUCAGAGUUGCCAGCCUAACCCCAGAUGCUUGGAGGUGGCCCCUGAACCUCUAUUUCAAACAGCAAUGGUGAUUAUCAAGAUCACUGAACUUGCAGACAUGUUUUUGUUCACCACUCUGUACUCAAUGCUGUGGGUCCUCAUUAAAAUCUUUGCAGACUGGAUGAACUAAAGAAUGAAGUGCUGAAUUCCAACAGACCAUCCCAACCACCAUCCUAAUCAACUCUGCAUAAGCCUGGAAUCUUUGCUGAAUGUCUGUCUUCUCCUCUAGACCCUAAACUCCAUGAGGACAAGUCCCUGGCUAUCUCCCCACCACCUCUUACCUGUAAGAGUGUUUACUAAGUAAAUACACAGUCCAACAAUGAUCCUGUGACUCAGUUCAUCAGUCUUUAAUCUUAAUUGCCACUGACUUAGCUAUGUAUCUUUUCUUUUGUAGCCAGUAUUUCUUUGUAAACUGGAAAAUUAUGUAAAAACUAAAAACUUUAACAGGAAUAUUUAAUCAAUCAAAACACUCCAUUUUCAACCAUUUUGGAUAAACAGGCACUUAUCAUAAUUGUUUCCCUCGAAACACACAUAGAGUUUUAUCAGUGCAAUCUGGAUGGAGUUUACUGAUACCAGACAUAGAAAUCAGCUAAUGGAAUAGGGAAGAAAAAAAAAAAAAACAAGAGAUGGGAUUCUUGGUAGGAAUUCAGUUUGUCUCUUCCUUAGGAGAGGAAACUAAUUAAUCGUAGUGAGGAGAGGAGUCACCAAAGCUCCUUGACAAACUUGGUUUUUGUGGAGUUGUUGGUUUUCCCCCAAGCAAAGGACUUCAUUUUAACAAAGCAAUAAAAACCCUCCAAAUACUCAUCACCAGAGAGAGGCUCCCAAGAAGAGGUAAAGCCCCAGGCACUGAUUGAAAUCACACUAAUUAAUGGUCUUGGAGAAUACUAAUUUCUCCCCCAUCCUCCUGUUCAAAAUGGAUUUUUUUAAGAAAUAGGCCCUUGGUCACUCAGAAGUCUACCCCCUUCUUCUAUUUUGACAACUUAUUUUUGGAUCUCAUUAGUUAGUAACUAAUUAUUUAAAAGUGUGGUUUAUGCUUGGAACAGGGCUAUAAAAAUGGCAACUUGCCAAGGCAGAAAUCUGCUUCCUGUAUAUCCCUAUAAAUUAUAUCAGCUUCUUUUAACUGAUAAAAACCCAACUUUGUCUCUGUCAGUUACAAAGGAGAAAGUUUUCACGUUUGAGACUCUCACACCUCAUCAAAACUCUGCCUGAAGAGUUAGUGAGCAGAAAAGAGUCUGCUUCUAGCUGUGGUCGCAAUGUUUUCAUAGGAUGUUCAGCCGAGUUGGAAAACUCAGUCCUCAGCCCUGAGAUAAAGCAAAGCAUGAGGUACAGAAGUGACCAGUAAAAAUUCCUGAUGGAAUCCUAAAAUACACACAACUAGGGCAGCAGCCUACAGGACUCCUUUUAAAACUUGGCAUUUCUUAAAUAAUAAAGUAGAAUUUAUUUAGAACAUAACUCUGAAGGAAAACUUCAGUUCUGCUUCACUUCAAAGAUUUUUCUCUGAGGAAAACAUAUCACUGGUUUUUAGAUGUGAAUGAAAUGCGACUUUUAGACCCAAUUCCUUUUCUUAUAAAGUCAAACUGUUCUCCUUCAAUCCUUUUCACCACUGCAUUACACACAAGAUUUGCUGGCAUGCCCCUUGACUCUUUAUGCUUAGGAAAACAAAAAUAGAGAAGGAAAGAAAAACUAUCUGUAGAUGAUGUUUUGAGUCCUAGCAGCUUGGGUAUAUGAAAAAAAAAACCGAAGAAAAACUCCUCACCAGAGAGGCUCCCAAGAAGAGGUAAAGCCCCAGGCACUGAUUGAAAUCACACUAAUUAAUGGUCUUGGAGAAUACUAAUUUCUCCCCAUCCUCCUGUUCAAAAUGGAUUUUUUUAAGAAAUAGGCCCUUGGUCACUCAGAAGUCUACCCCCUUCUUCUAUUUUGACAACUUAUUUUUGGAUCUCAUUAGUUAGUAACUAAUUAUUUAAAAGUGUGGUUUAUGCUUGGAACAGGGCUAUAAAAAUGGCAACUUGCCAAGGCAGAAAUCUGCUUCCUGUAUAUCCCUAUAAAUUAUAUCAGCUUCUUUUAACUGAUAAAAACCCAACUUUGUCUCUGUCAGUUACAAAGGAGAAAGUUUUCACGUUUGAGACUCUCACACCUCAUCAAAACUCUGCCUGAAGAGUUAGUGAGCAGAAAAGAGUCUGCUUCUAGCUGUGGUCGCAAUGUUUUCAUAGGAUGUUCAGCCGAGUUGGAAAACUCAGUCCUCAGCCCUGAGAUAAAGCAAAGCAUGAGGUACAGAAGUGACCAGUAAAAAUUCCUGAUGGAAUCCUAAAAUACACACAACUAGGGCAGCAGCCUACAGGACUCCUUUUAAAACUUGGCAUUUCUUAAAUAAUAAAGUAGAAUUUAUUUAGAACAUAACUCUGAAGGAAAACUUCAGUUCUGCUUCACUUCAAAGAUUUUUCUCUGAGGAAAACAUAUCACUGGUUUUUAGAUGUGAAUGAAAUGCGACUUUUAGACCCAAUUCCUUUUCUUAUAAAGUCAAACUGUUCUCCUUCAAUCCUUUUCACCACUGCAUUACACACAAGAUUUGCUGGCAUGCCCCUUGACUCUUUAUGCUUAGGAAAACAAAAAAUAGAGAAGGAAAGAAAAACUAUCUGUAGAUGAUGUUUUGAGUCCUAGCAGCUUGGGUAUAUGAAAAAAAAAACCGAAGAAAAACUCCUCUAAUAGGCCUGCUAAAGCUUGAAGUUUCAUAGGUAAAUGCAGGAAUGAAAAUGCCUUCUUGCAAACAGUCCUGGCUUUUCCCCAUUCAACUAUCCGUCCCCAUCCUUCUGUAAUUUCCCCGAGGCCUAAACCCAGAGCACAAUUAA
rnacentral:lncRNA from 1 species